GAUGAACGCUGGCGGCGUGCUUAACGCAUGCAAGUCGAACGGAAAGGCUCCUGCUUGCAGGGGUACUCGAGUGGCGAACGGGUGAGUAACACGUGGGUGAUCUGCCCUGCACUUCGGGAUAAGCCUGGGAAACUGGGUCUAAUACCGGAUAGGACCACAUUUUGGAUGGUGUGGUGGAAAGUUUUUCGGUGUGGGAUGAGCUCGCGGCCUAUCAGCUUGUUGGUGGGGUAAUGGCCUACCAAGGCGUCGACGGGUAGCCGGCCUGAGAGGGUGUACGGCCACAUUGGGACUGAGAUACGGCCCAGACUCCUACGGGAGGCAGCAGUGGGGAAUAUUGCACAAUGGGCGCAAGCCUGAUGCAGCGACGCCGCGUGGGGGAUGACGGCCUUCGGGUUGUAAACUCCUUUCGCUAGGGACGAAGCGCAAGUGACGGUACCUGGAGAAGAAGCACCGGCUAACUACGUG
rnacentral:rRNA from 1 species